ACUGGGCGCAGUGGUGCAUGCUUGUAGUCCCAGCUACUCAGGAGGCUGAGGCUGGAAGAUCACUUGAACCCAGGAGUUCUGGGUUCUGUAGUGCACUAUGCCAAUAGGGUGUCCACACUAAGUUUGGCAUCAAUAUGGUGACCUCCUGGGAGUUGGGGAUCACCAGGUUGCCUAAGAAGGCGUGAAACGGCACAGGUCAGAAACAGCAGAGGACAAAACUCCCAUGCUGAUCAGCAGUGGGAUGGCACUUGUGAAUAGCCACUGCACUCUAGCCUGGGCAACACAGCAAGACCCCACCUCAA
ensembl:misc_RNA Metazoa_SRP Metazoan signal recognition particle RNA